AUUGAACGCUGGCGGCAGGCUUAACACAUGCAAGUCGAGCGGGGACUUCGGUCCUAGCGGCGAACGGGUGAGGAAUGCUUGGGAAUCUGCCUUGUAGUGGGGGAUAACGUUUCGAAAGGAACGCUAAUACCGCAUACGCCCUACGGGGGAAAGGGGGGGAUCUUCGGACCUCUCGCUAUAAGAUGAGCCCAAGUCGGAUUAGCUAGUUGGUGGGGUAAAGGCUCACCAAGGCGACGAUCCGUAGCUGGUCUGAGAGGAUGAUCAGCCACACUGGAACUGAGACACGGUCCAGACUCCUACGGGAGGCAGCAGUGGGGAAUAUUGGACAAUGGGCGAAAGCCUGAUCCAGCCAUGCCGCGUGUGUGAAGAAGGCCUUCGGGUUGUAAAGCACUUUAAGCGAGGAGGAAUGGCUCUGGGUUAAUACCCUUGAGCAGUGACGUUACUCGCAGAAUAAGCACCGGCUAACUCUGUGCCAGCCGCCGCGGUAACAC
rnacentral:rRNA from 1 species